rnacentral:rRNA from 5 species
GAACGUUGAAGACGACGACGUUGAUAGGCCGGGUGUGUAAGCGCAGCGAUGCGUUGAGCUAACCGGUACUAAUGAACCGUGAGGCUUAACCUUACAACGCCGAAGCUGUU